rnacentral:rRNA from 1 species
GAUGAACGCUGGCGGCGUGCCUAACACAUGCAAGUCGAACGAAGCCUUCGGGCUUAGUGGCGCACGGGUGCGUAACGCGUGGGAAUCUGCCCUUAGGUGCGGAAUAACUCAGGGAAACUUGAGCUAAUACCGCAUAAUGACUCCGGUCCAAAGAUUUAUCGCCUAAGGAUGGGCCCGCGUCGGAUUAGCUAGUUGGUGAGGUAAAAGCUCACCAAGGCGACGAUCCGUAGCUGGUCUGAGAGGAUGAUCAGCCACACUGGGACUGAGACACGGCCCAGACUCCUACGGGAGGCAGCAGUGGGGAAUAUUGGACAAUGGGCGAAAGCUUGAUCCAGCAAUGCCGCGUGAGUGAUGAAGGCCUUAGGGUUGUAAAGCUCUUUUACCCGGGAUGAUAAUGACAGUACCGGGAGAAUAAGCCCCGGCUAACUCCGUGCCAGCCGCCGCCGUAA